GGGGGCGGUGCAUCAGAGCGCAGGUGGCGCUGCGAGUUAACGUACUUGUCCUCUCAGAGGUGAUUUGAGAUAAUUUAGUAAUAAUAGCUUGGUAAUGAUGUUUUUAUAACUGGGCUGGAGAAAGUCCCUUGGUAUCAGUAGCAAGAUACGGUUGUCGCUCCUAGGCUCUGUUUCUCUGGCGUUGGCGUUCUCGUAUGCGCUCUGAAAUCUGUGACGUUCCGUCCCUGAAGUUUUUUAGGGAAGGUCUGUUCUCUAGGUAGUUUUCUGUUUGUGCUCUUCAGAAUAAAGCUGAGUUUUGAAUCAAAGCUAUAUUCUCUUCUUGCAUGAUUCUUAGUCGUUCUGAUCGUGGCUAUCCUAAAUUUGGUAUGUUAUAAUUCAGUCAUGUGUUACUUCCACAUGCCUUAUCUGUACUGUUUUAUUAGCUUAAACUAGUAAAUACGAGUAGCUUUAUCUGUUACUGUGAGAGCCUGGUUUCUCUGAACUAGCUUCCUGGAAAUCUCUUGUUUCCCAGCUCAGGUCUGAUGAUAAACAAGGUCUUCCACGUCAUGGGGACUCCCCAGUGCAGUCUGCACACCUAAAUAUGCCUGCUCCGAGUAAGGAGACUUCCCUCUUUAAGGUGAAAAGUCAUCUCGCACCAGACAAGCCUGGGUCUAUAUUGCUGCAGAAUUUGGGACUGCACAUGACAUUGCUGCAGUAGGCCAAGGGGGCAAGACAUAAAAAUGGAAGAAACUCGGUCUCUGUCCAGGAACCUGUAGUGAUUUUCACAUUAAAAUGUGAAGUGCAAAAGCUCUGUUUUCCUGUUAUGUUACUAAGAUGCUCUUUUUCCUUGUCAGUCACCCUUUAGUGAUAGUGGCUUCCUCUUGGUAGUUUGUACUGGAUGCAGCAUGGGAAGGAGUCUGAGCAGGGGCAGAAACAUCGAAGUGACAGGGAUGUGAACAUGAACUUUCCCAGUCGUCGCUUCCCUCUGCCCAAAAACUUAACUCUAAAC
rnacentral:lncRNA from 1 species